rnacentral:rRNA from 1 species
UGCUAGUCGAGCGGCUGCGAUUAGAAACUUUGGUUUUCUGGGUUAGAGGCGGAGGGUGAGUAACGUAUGGGUAACCUGCCCCUAAAACGGGGAUAACUCCCGCAAACCAGGGCUAAAACCGGAUAACACUUUGAACCGCAAGGGUCGAAAUUGAAAGGCCGCUUCGGCUGUCACUUACCGAUGGACCCGCGUCUCAUUAGCGGGUUGGUGAGGUAACGGCUCACCAAGGCAACGAUGCGUAGCCAACCUGCCAGGGUGAUCGGCCACACUGACGACUGACACACGGCCCCGACUCCUACCGGAGGCAAUUUUUGGGAAUCUUCCGCAAUGGACGAAAGUCUGACGGAGCGUCGCCGCGUGAGUGAUGAAGGCUUUCGGUUCUUUUUACUCUGUUGUUAGGGAAGAACAAGUGCUAGUUGAAUAAGCUGGCACCUUGACGGUACCUAACCCGAAAGCCACGGCUAACUACAUGGCCAAUAAACUGUAAUUA